rnacentral:rRNA from 1 species
CCUACGGGUGGCAGCAGUCGAGAAUCAUUCACAAUGGACGAAAGUCUGAUGGAGCAACGCCGCGUGGGUGAAGAAGCGCCUCGGCGCGUAAAGCUCUGUCUUCAGGGACGAUAAUGACGGUACCUGUGGAGGAAGCCACGGCUAACUACGUGCCAGCAGCCGCGGUAAUACGUAGGUGGCGAGCGUUGUCCGGAUUUACUGGGCGUAAAGGGAGCGUAGGCGGACUUUUAAGUGAGAUGUGAAAUACUCGGGCUCAACUUGAGUGCUGCAUUUCAAACUGGAAGUCUAGAGUGCAGGAGAGGAGAAUGGAAUUCGUAGUGUAGCGGUGAAAUGCGUAGAGAUUAGGAAGAACACCAGUGGCGAAGGCGAUUCUCUGGACUGUAACUGACGCUGAGGCUCGAAAGCGUGGGGAGCAAACAGGAUUAGAUACCCUUGUAGUC